rnacentral:rRNA from 1 species
UGGGGAAUCUUGGACAAUGGGGGCAACCCUGAUCCAGCCAUGCCGCGUGAGUGAUGAAGGCCUUAGGGUCGUAAAGCUCUUUCGCCUGUGAAGAUAAUGACGGUAGCAGGUAAAGAAACCCCGGCUAACUCCGUGCCAGCAGCCGCGGUAAUACGGAGGGGGUUAGCGUUGUUCGGAAUUACUGGGCGUAAAGCGCACGUAGGCGGACCAGAAAGUUGGGGGUGAAAUCCCGGGGGCUCAACCCCGGAACUGCCUCCAAAACUAUUGGUCUAGAGUUCGAGAGAGGUGAGUGGAAUUCCAAGUGUAGAGGUGAAAAUUCGUAGAUAUUUGGAGGAACACCAGUGGCGAAGGCGGCUCACUGGCUCGAUACUGACGCUGAGGUGCGAAAAGUGUGGGGAGCAAAACAGGAUUAGAUACCCUGGUAGUCCACACCGUAAAACGAUGAAUGCCAGUCGUCGGGUAGCAUGCUAUUCGGUGACACACCUAACGGAUUAAAGCAUUCCGCCUGGGGAGUACGGUCGCAAGAUU